AGUCGAGCGAACAGAUGAAGUGCUUGCACUUCUGACGUUAGCGGCGAACGGGUGAGUAACACGUAAGGAAUCUACCUAUAAGCGGGGGAUAACAUUCGGAAACGGGUGCUAAUACCGCAUAAUAUCUUCUUCCGCAUGGAAGAAGAUUGAAAGACGGCUCUGCUGUCACUUAUAGAUGACCUUGCGGUGCAUUAGUUAGUUGGUGGGGUAACGGCCUACCAAGACGAUGAUGCAUAGCCGACCUGAGAGGGUGAUCGGCCACAUUGGGACUGAGACACGGCCCAAACUCCUACGGGAGGCAGCAGUAGGGAAUCUUCCGCAAUGGGCGAAAGCCUGACGGAGCAAUGCCGCGUGAGUGAAGAAGGCCUUCGGGUCGUAAAACUCUGUUAUAAGAGAAGAACAAAUUGUAGAGUAACUGCUACAGUCUUGACGGUAUCUUAUCAGAAAGCCACGGCUAACUACGUGCCAGCAGCCGCGGUAAUACGUAGGUGGCAAGCGUUGUCCGGAUUUAUUGGGCGUAAAGGGAGCGCAGGUGGUUUCUUAAGUCUGAUGUGAAAGCCCACGGCUUAACCGUGGAGGGUCAUUGGAAACUGGGAAACUUGAGUACAGAAGAGGAAUGUGGAACUCCAUGUGUAGCGGUGGAAUGCGUAGAUAUAUGGAAGAACACCAGUGGCGAAGGCGACAUUCUGGUCUGUUACUGACACUGAGGCUCGAAAGCGUGGGGAGCAAACAGGAUUAGAUACCCUGGUAGUCCACGCCGUAAACGAUGAGUGCUAGGUGUUGGAGGG
rnacentral:rRNA from 1 species